UACGUAGGGUGCGAGCGUUAAUCGGAAUUACUGGGCGUAAAGCGUGCGCAGGCGGUUCGCUAAGACCGAUGUGAAAUCCCCGGGCUUAACCUGGGAACUGCAUUGGUGACUGGCGGGCUAGAGUAUGGCAGAGGGGGGUAGAAUUCCACGUGUAGCAGUGAAGUGCGUAGAGAUGUGGAGGAAUACCGAUGGCGAAGGCAGCCCCCUGGGCCAAUACUGACGCUCAUGCACGAAAGCGUGGGGAGCAAACAGG
rnacentral:rRNA from 1 species